ACCCAGCUGCAGAAUCCCAAAUAGGACGAAACGCGCGUUAUGGGU
rnacentral:hammerhead_ribozyme from 1 species